rnacentral:sRNA from 1 species
UCGCUCCACCUCUCAAGCAGCGCCUGCCUGAGUGUUCUGCCCCCUCCCCACCCAUUUCACCGCCACCAUGACACCGGGCACCCAGUCUCCUUUCUUCCUGCUGCUGCUCCUCACAGUGCUUACAGGUGGAGAAAAGGAGACUUCGGCUACCCAAAGAAGUUCAAUGCCCAG